GACGAACGCUGGCGGCGUGCUUAACACGUGCAAGUCGAGCGGAAAAGCCCCUUUGGGGGUACGUCGAGCGGCGAACGGGUGAGUAACACGUGAGUAACCUGCCCCUGACUUCGGGAUAAGCCUGGGAAACUGGGUCUAAUACCGGAUAUGACCAUUUCGGGCAUCCGAUGGUGGUGGAAAGUUUUUUCGGUUGGGGAGUGGGCUCGCGGCCUAUCAGCUUGUUGGUGGGGUAGUGGCCUACCAAGGCGACGACGGGUAGCCGGCCUGAGAGGGCGACCGGCCGACACUGGGACUGAGACACGGCCCAGACUCCUACGGGAGGCAGCAGUGGGGAAUAUUGCGCAAUGGGCGGAAGGCCUGACGCAGCGACGCCG
rnacentral:rRNA from 1 species